rnacentral:rRNA from 1 species
AGCGAACGCUGGCGGCAGGCCUAACACAUGCAAGUCGAACGGAUCCUUCGGGAUUAGUGGCGGACGGGUGAGUAACACGUGGGAACGUGCCCUUUGGUUCGGAACAACUCAGGGAAACUUGAGCUAAUACCGGAUGUGCCCUUCGGGGGAAAGAUUUAUCGCCAUUGGAGCGGCCCGCGUCUGAUUAGCUAGUUGGUGGGGUAAAGGCCCACCAAGGCGACGAUCAGUAGCUGGUCUGAGAGGAUGAUCAGCCACAUUGGGACUGAGACACGGCCCAAACUCCUACGGGAGGCAGCAGUGGGGAAUCUUGCGCAAUGGGCGAAAGCCUGACGCAGCCAUGCCGCGUGAAUGAUGAAGGUCUUAGGAUUGUAAAAUUCUUUCACCGGGGACGAUAAUGACGGUACCCGGAGAAGAAGCCCCGGCUAACUUCGUGCCAGCCGCCGCCGUAA